GUCAUACGCUCGUCUCAAAGAUUAAGCCAUGCAUGUGUAAGUAUAAAUAGUUAACUUUGAAACUGCGAAUGGCUCAUUAUAUCAGUUAUAGUUUAUUUGAUGAAGAAUACUAAUUGGAUAACCGUAGUAAUUCUAGAGCUAAUACAUGUAUAAAGUCUUGUAGACUGCAUUUAUUAGAAUGAAAACCAUAGGUUUCGGCCUAUUCGUGAGUAAUAAUAACUAAUCAUAUCGUAUGCUUAUGUAACGAUGUGUCUUUCAAGUUUCUGCCCUAUCAGCUUUCGAUGGUAGUGUAUUGGACUACCAUGGCAGUAACGGGUAACGAAGAA
rnacentral:rRNA from 1 species